rnacentral:rRNA from 1 species
AUGUGCUGUGAGCUCGAUGAGUAGGGCGGGACACGUGGUAUCCUGUCUGAAUAUGGGGGGACCAUCCUCCAAGGCUAAAUACUCCUGACUGACCGAUAGUGAACCAGUACCGUGAGGGAAAGGCGAAAAGAACCCCGGCGAGGGGAGUGAAAAAGAACCUGAAACCGUGUACGUACAAGCAGUGGGAGCACAGGUUUACCUGUGUGACUGCGUACCUUUUGUAUAAUGGGUCAGCGACUUAUAUUCUGUAGCAAGGUUAACCGAAUAGGGGAGCCGGAGGGAAACCGAGUCUUAAUUGGGCGUUAAGUUGCAGGGUAUAGACCCGAAACCCGGUGAUCUAGCCAUGGGCAGGUUGAAGGUUGGGUAACACUAACUGGAGGACCGAACCGACUAAUGUUGAAAAAUUAGCGGAUGACCUGUGGCUGGGGGUGAAAGGCCAAUCAAACCGGGAGAUAGCUGGUUCUCCCCGAAAGCUAUUUAGGUAGCGCCUCGUGAAUUCAUCUCCGGGGGUAGAGCACUGUUUCGGCUAGGGGGCCAUCCCGGCUUACCAACCCGAUGCAAACUGCGAAUACCGGAGAAUGUUAUCACGGGAGACACACGGCGGGUGCUAACGUCCGUCGUGAAGAGGGAAACAACCCAGACCGCCAGCUAAGGUCCCAAAGUCAUGGUUAAGUGGGAAACGAUGUGGGAAGGCCCAGACAGCCAGGAUGUUGGCUUAGAAGCAGCCAUCAUUUAAAGAAAGCGUAAUAGCUCACUGGUCGAGUCGGCCUGCGCGGAAGAUGUAACGGGGCUAAACCAUGCACCGAAGCUGCGGCAGCGAACGUAUCACUUAAAGCGAUUCAGCGGGUUACGAUUGACGGAGCGAAGCGACGUCAAAGCGUAUACAAAGUCGAGUCGGUUUA